rnacentral:rRNA from 1 species
GAUGAACGCUGGCAGAAUGCUUAACACAUGCAAGUCGAUGGGGAAGUGGUGCUUGCCCCAUGGCAACCAUGGCGGACGGGUGAGUAACGCGUAAGGGACUUACCUGCAGGACUGGGAUAACAGGGGGAAACUCCUGACAAGACCGGAUAAUGUCAUGGAGCUGCAUGGCUUUAUGAUGAAAGGAGACGCCUGCGGAGAGCCUUGCGUCCUAUUAGCUAGUUGGUGAGGUAAUGGCUCACCACGGCGAAGAUAGGGAGCCGGCCUGAGAGGGUGGACGGCCACAAGGGGACUGAGAGACGGCCCAUACGCCUACGGGAGGCAGCAGUGGGGAAUAGUGGACAAUGGGGGCAACCCUGAUACAGCAAUUCUGUGUGCACGAAGAAGGUUUUCGGAGUGUAAAGUGAUUUCAGCAGGGAAGAAGUAAGUGACGGUACCUGCAGAAGAAGCGACGGCUAAAUACGUG